CUCAGGUUGACCUCGGAUCAGGUAGGGAUACCCGCUGAACUUAAGCAUAUCAAUAAGCGGAGGA
rnacentral:rRNA from 1 species